rnacentral:tRNA from 1 species
AGGUAAGGUGGCUGAGUAAGCGGCGGGUUGUAGCCCCGAAGACAGAGGUUUAAGUCCUCUCUUUACC